rnacentral:rRNA from 1 species
GAUGAACGCUGGCGGCGUGCCUAAUACAUGCAAGUCGAGCGAACGGACGAGAAGCUUGCUUCUCUGAUGUUAGCGGCGGACGGGUGAGUAACACGUGGAUAACCUACCUAUAAGACUGGGAUAACUUCGGGAAACCGGAGCUAAUACCGGAUAAUAUUUUGAACCGCAUGGUUCAAAAGUGAAAGACGGUCUUGCUGUCACUUAUAGAUGGAUCCGCGCUGCAUUAGCUAGUUGGUAAGGUAACGGCUUACCAAGGCAACGAUGCAUAGCCGACCUGAGAGGGUGAUCGGCCACACUGGAACUGAGACACGGUCCAGACUCCUACGGGAGGCAGCAGUAGGGAAUCUUCCGCAAUGGGCGAAAGCCUGACGGAGCAACGCCGCGUGAGUGAUGAAGGUCUUCGGAUCGUAAAACUCUGUUAUUAGGGAAGAACAUAUGUGUAAGUAACUGUGCACAUCUUGACGGUACCUAAUCAGAAAGCCACGGCUAACUACGUGCCAGCAGCCGCGGUAAUACGUAGGUGGCAAGCGUUAUCCGGAAUUAUUGGGCGUAAAGCGCGCGUAGGCGGUUUUUUAAGUCUGAUGUGAAAGCCCACGGCUCAACCGUGGAGGGUCAUUGGAAACUGGAAAACUUGAGUGCAGAAGAGGAAAGUGGAAUUCCAUGUGUAGCGGUGAAAUGCGCAGAGAUAUGGAGGAACACCAGUGGCGAAGGCGACUUUCUGGUCUGUAACUGACGCUGAUGUGCAAAAGCGUGGGGAUCAAACAGGAUUAGAUACCCUGGUAGUCCACGCCGUAAACGAUGAGUGCUAAGUGUUAGGGGGUUUCCGCCCCUUAGUGCUGCAGCUAACGCAUUAAGCACUCCGCCUGGGGAGUACGACCGCAAGGUUGAAACUCAAAGGAAUUGACGGGGACCCGCACAAGCGGUGGAGCAUGUGGUUUAAUUCGAAGCAACGCGAAGAACCUUACCAAAUCUUGACAUCCUUUGACAACUCUAGAGAUAGAGCCUUCCCCUUCGGGGGACAAAGUGACAGGUGGUGCAUGGUUGUCGUCAGCUCGUGUCGUGAGAUGUUGGGUUAAGUCCCGCAACGAGCGCAACCCUUAAGCUUAGUUGCCAUCAUUAAGUUGGGCACUCUAAGUUGACUGCCGGUGACAAACCGGAGGAAGGUGGGGAUGACGUCAAAUCAUCAUGCCCCUUAUGAUUUGGGCUACACACGUGCUACAAUGGACAAUACAAAGGGCAGCGAAACCGCGAGGUCAAGCAAAUCCCAUAAAGUUGUUCUCAGUUCGGAUUGUAGUCUGCAACUCGACUACAUGAAGCUGGAAUCGCUAGUAAUCGUAGAUCAGCAUGCUACGGUGAAUACGUUCCCGGGUCU